rnacentral:rRNA from 1 species
UGGGGAAUUUUGGACAAUGGGGGAAACCCUGAUCCAGCCAUCCCGCGCGUGCGAUGAAGGCCUUCGGGUUGUAAAGCACUUUUGGCAGGAAAGAAACGUCAUGGGUUAAUACCCCGUGAAACUGACGGUACCUGCAGAAUAAGCACCGGCUAACUACGUGCCAGCAGCCGCGGUAAUACGUAGGGUGCAAGCGUUAAUCGGAAUUACUGGGCGUAAAGCGUGCGCAGGCGGUUCGGAAAGAAAGAUGUGAAAUCCCAGAGCUCAACUUUGGAACUGCAUUUUGAACUACCGGGCUAGAGGGUAUCAGAGGGAGGUGGAAUUCCGCGUGUAGAAAUGAAAAGCGUAUAUAUGCAGAGGAACACCGGUGGCGAAGGCAGCCUCCUGUGAUAACACUAACGCUCAUGCACGAAAGCGUGGGGAGCAAACAGG